CGAUGAUGAUAUGAGCCGCCUGGCCACCGCCUUCCACCCGUACCUCCAUCCUCCGCUGUCUAACCGCGUUCUCCACCCCUCCAUCGCAAAUGCAAUAGCCUACGCAGGAUUUACUUCUUCCUGUGGGAUACGCCAGGAAUCCAACAAAACGGGUCAUCUUAGUGGUUAAAAAUGGACCGUGAUGUGCUCCGUACAUUGAUACGCUAAUGUCAUUUUACAGCCUUCAAAUAUGAAUCAUGUAUUUGGUAUUCCUUCUGAGUCUGGUCGUCAGCAUCCUCAUCGCCUUGCAAUGUCCAUUUGCCUCAACGUCAACGGUUUCCCCUGCCGCUGAAUAUGUGGACAUCGGGAACACGGCGUCAGACAAACCCGGGCGAGAGUCGACAGCUUCAGCACUGGACAGCGCCAACUCUACACGCGAGGGGCCUGCUCAGGGGGUCACGAUUACCUAUCCUGCGAGGCUUAUCUACUACUUAAACAAGGAGUCGGAGAGUACCAACCAUGACCUGGAUACCCGUGCGCGGAACCAGAUCGCACUGGACCAGGAUAUCCACCUGGCUCAGGCAAGCUUUCAGCUUGAGGCCUUUGGGUCCACCUUUAUUCUGGACCUUUCUUUAAAUAAUGAUUUGCUGUCCUCAGAUUAUGUAGAGAUCCACUUUGAGGAUGGGAAACCGGUGCUUUCUAAGGGAGGGGAGCACUGCUACUACCAUGGCCAAGUGCGAGGAAAGGAGUCGUCGCGUGUGGCCGUGUCCACCUGUAACGGACUGCAUGGUAUGUUUGAUGAUGGGGACUUUGUGUACCUCAUCGAGCCGCUGAAGCAGACGCACUUCUCGGACAUGGAGGCCAGACCACAUACUUUACGCAGAGCCACCUCGCUGCUCUCUCUGGGUGACGCAGUUGACCUGGGUCUGGGGAAACAGAGGGAGGACGAGGCUGAGGAGGAUGGGCCAGAGAAGGAGGUCUUAUCAGACAUGCCCUGGCUAAGACGCCGGAGGAAACGAGCCAUGCCACGUAAUGUGUUCGAGGAGAUGAAGUAUCUGGAGAUCAUGAUUGUCAGCGACCACAACACGUUCAAGAGACACAAAACCAAAAAGCAUACCAGGAAUUUCGCAAAGUCAGUGGUCAACUUUGUUGAUGCGGUCUUCAAGGAACAGCUGAAUACGCGCGUGGUGCUGGUCGGUAUGGAGGUUUGGACCGACCGAGACCGCAUCCCCCCGAGUGUUCGUCCACUGGAUAUGCUCAAGGACUUCUCCAAGUACCGGCAGAGCAGCAUCAACCUCAAUGCCGAUUCUGUGCACCUCUUCACGAAUAUGACUUUCCACUACGACCGGAGCAGUGUGGCUUACAUUGGUGGGGUGUGCUCGACGGACCGGGGAGUCGGGGUCAACGAGUACGGCACCACGUGGACCAUGGCAGCCUCUCUCUCCCAGAGCCUGGCACAGAACCUGGGCAUCCAGUGGGACCCCCCGACCAGGAGGAAGCAGUGUGGCUGUAUGGAUUCAUGGACUGGGUGCAUCAUGGAGGAUACAGGGGUGCAGCACCCUCGCAGAUUCUCCAAAUGCAGCAUAUCUGAUUAUAAGACCUUCCUGUUGAAGGGUGGGGCUUCAUGUCUGUUUAACAGACCAAAUAAGCUUUUUGAGGCCACAGAGUGUGGCAACGGGUACGUGGAGGUGGGGGAGGAGUGUGACUGCGGAACUGGAAUGGAGUGCUAUAGGGACUGCUGUAAGAAGUGUUCUCUCUCUAAUGGUGCCCACUGCAGCGAUGGUCCAUGCUGUAAUGUCACCUGCUUGUUUUAUCCACGAGGGCACAGCUGUCGCUACGCUGUGAACGACUGCGACAUUUCAGAAACCUGCUCAGGAGACUCGGGACAGUGCCCUCCAAAUCUUCAUAAGCAGGAUGGGUAUUCAUGUCAGCUUAACGAGGGGCGCUGCUACAAGGGGGAGUGCAAGAGUCGUGCGAAUCAGUGCAAGUACAUCUGGGGAUCGAAGGCCAGUGGUUCGGAGAAGUACUGCUAUGAGAAGCUGAACACCGAGGGAACAGAGAAGGGCAACUGUGGGCGUGAUGGAGACAAGUGGCUGCCCUGCAGCAAACAUGAUGUGUUCUGUGGGUACCUGCUGUGCUCCAAAAUUGGUAGGAGCCCACGCAUUGGAACCAUGAGAGGUGACAUCACCCCAACCACAUUCAACCACCAAGGGACACUGGUGGACUGCAGCGGUGCCCAUGUGAUGAUGGACGAUGACACUGACCUGGGGUACGUGGAUGACGGUACUCAGUGCGGCCCCUCCAUGAUGUGCCUUGAACGGAGGUGUUUGCCCAUCUCUUUCCUCAACAUCACCGCAUGCCCCUCGGGCCCCAACGGACGCAUCUGUUCUGCGCAUGGGGUGUGCAAUAAUGAGGCCACGUGCACAUGUGACUCCACAUGGGCAGGCACAGACUGCAGCAUGCACGACCCCCCGAAGGAACCACCGACCAUGCUGAACGAGGGACCCAAGGGUCCUAGUGCCACCAACCUUAUCAUAGGCUCCAUCGCAGGGGCCAUCCUGAUGGCAGCCAUUGUUCUGGGGGGGACGGGCUGGGGUUUUAAGGUGAAAGUAUAAGCUGAGCAGAGAGGGAGCAGACAGAGAAAGAGAGGGGGGGGGAGAGGCUGGUGGACACGUGCCCUGUCCUCUCCCGUCCCCUCCUCUCCCGUCGUUUUUUUUUUUUUUUUUUGGUCGGUUGCAGCCUUUGUGCCAUGGCUAGCUGGCUGCCACUCUCACCCCUCUGUUCCUCCUGGGAGGCCUUUGGGGCCGGGUGGGGGUACCCCUGCCCCCAACCCACCUCGCGCUAGAGCAGAGCAAGACCCCUCCCCUCACCCCCACCCCGGACUCGCCCGACACACGGCUGCCUGUGCUGAAUGCUUCACAGAGACCUGAAACGUCAAGAAACGGCGUUACGACGCCAAUGCCAGCGCCAUCUAGAGGACUGGAUGAGGCUGUGCACUCUGGGGUCAGAUCCUGUGCUGGAUUCAGCCAAUCGAUCCGACCUUCGCUGGACUCCUCAUUUCCCUUUCCUGCCGCUAACUUAGCGGUAGCGUUUACUUGAAGACAACAAACAGAACAACGAUACUGAAUGAAACCACUACUGACUACUGAGCAUCUUCCAUUUGUAGUUUUUUGGAACUACAUUACCCACGCUCAACGCCCCAACCCUCCACCACCACCACCACCACCAUUCCCUUCCCUUCUCCCAAAUAGACUUUUAUUACCCCAAACUAUCCCUCCGUUCCUCUCUCCUCGGAGACGGAGAGGGGGGCAGUGUGCUGGGGGGCGUGCCCUCGAAGGCCCACCUAUCAGGCAUGACUUCCUGUACAGCGCACUUUGACCUUUGACCUCCCGUGCGGAACCCCAGCAUGAUGAGUCCUGGCUGAGGCACUGCAUGGCUGAAGUGAGUCACCCAUUCAAAGUGAAAAAAGAUAAGACAGAGAAAAAAAAAACACAUGAGUACAAUCAAAUUGAGUACAGUCAGUGAGUCACUACGAACACCAAAUUCAUGGAAAAGAGGCGUUUGGCAUCUAAGAUAGACUGCCGACAACCCUACAUGGUAACGUUGCUGUCAGCAACGCAAGUCCCUAAAGGAAGAAACUUGUAAUGUCACAUUGAGAACAUGGAUCAGCUACUGAAUCUCAACAUAUCAUUUUACACUAUUACAUAAUUCUGCAUUUUUUGUUAGAAUUUUAGCAUGUUGUCUUGCAGGUGUUUUGGCUGUAUUAAUAACAAAAAUGACAGAAAGAAAAAAAAAGGGAAAAUAUUUUGGCCAACAGUUAUAGACUAACGUGCAAGGGAACACUUAUGAGCAGUGUUAACACCUUUCUCCUAGACAAAACACACACACACACACACACACACACACACACACACACACUUCUUUCAUACACAAGUCACAUACAUGAGUAAUAAGGAGUCAGUGCUGACUCUUUUAGCCCAGUGUUCUCACAAAACCAGUUGGUAGACACUACAGUCAUGAGCUGCAUGAUCAAGACUAUUUAGUGGGCAGCCCUUUCCCAACUGCUCUGCUUCCCAUGGUUACUGCAUGUUAAAGGAUAAUUAAACAACUAACUCUUACUAUGCAAAGGAAAACAUUGCACAGACCUACUGAUUGGUAAUGAUUCUUCAAUGAUACUAUGAUGAUAUUACUAAAAUCAUGUUUUAGCUACUUAAACAAUAAUGCAGCCUUUUAUAUACUUGGCCACUUCAACAUUUGUCUUUAUAACAAGCUUCAGAUAAACAUAGGAAAAACCGAAUGAAAAAAAAAAGUCCAAAUGUCAAAAUGCAUCUGAUCACGUUCAUUUGUCUGAGUUGGAGGAAGCAACCACUUUUGUCAUUUGUGAUAAAGAAAGAUUAAGUUUUUCAAUCAAGCGUAAUUAUAGGAAUAAAGAAGGUAGGAAUAAAGGGAUCUUUCCAGAAUUUUCUUGGCUAGAGGUCUACGUGUUGGGUGUCCUGUGUACCAUUUUUGAGGUUACUUGGGUGUCCGCUCUCAUCUCCUCGUUCUUUCCCAUCAUUACAUGUUUCCAUGGAAGCACCAUCAAAAUAUUUAAAUAAAGGACUUGACAAAGUAUUGUAUCACUUGA